CGGGGUGAGUAACGCGUGGGUAACCUGCCUUGUACAGGGGGAUAACAGUUGGAAACGGCUGCUAAUACCGCAUAAGCGCACGGCAUCGCAUGAUGCAGUGUGAAAAACUCCGGUGGUAUAAGAUGGACCCGCGUUGGAUUAGCUAGUUGGUGAGGUAACGGCCCACCAAGGCGACGAUCCAUAGCCGACCUGAGAGGGUGACCGGCCACAUUGGGACUGAGACACGGCCCAA
rnacentral:rRNA from 1 species